rnacentral:rRNA from 1 species
ACAGAGGGUGCAAACGUUGCUCGGAAUUAUUGGGCGUAAAGCGCAUGUAGGCGGCACGGUAAGUCGACUGUGAAAGCCCUUGGCUCAACCAAGGAAGUGCAGUCGAAACUGCCGAGCUCGAGUUCUGAAGAGGGUCGCGGAAUGGCCAGUGUAGAGGUGAAAUUCGUAGAUAUUGGCUAGAACACCAGUGGCGAAGGCGGCGACCUGGGAAGAUACUGACGCUGAGAUGCGAAAGCGUGGGGAGCAAACAGGA